GACGAACGCUGGCGGCGUGCUUAACACACGCAAGUCGAACGGAAAGGCCCUGCUUUUGUGGGGUGCUCGAGUGGCGAACGGGUGAGUAACACGUGAGUAACCUGCCCUUGACUUUGGGAUAACUUCAGGAAACUGGGGCUAAUACCGGAUAGGAGCUCCUGCUGCAUGGUGGGGGUUGGAAAGUUUCGGCGGUUGGGGAUGGACUCGCGGCUUAUCAGCUUGUUGGUGGGGUAGUGGCUUACCAAGGCUUUGACGGGUAGCCGGCCUGAGAGGGUGACCAGCCACAUUGGGACUGAGAUACGGCCCAGACUCCUACGGGAGGCAGCAGUGGGGAAUAUUGCACAAUGGGCGGAAGCCUGAUGCAGCAACGCCGCGUGCGGGAUGACGGCCUUCGGGUUGUAAACCGCUUUCGCCUGUGACGAAGCGUGAGUGACGGUAAUGGGUAAAGAAGCACCGGCUAACUACGUG
rnacentral:rRNA from 1 species